ACGACCUUACUUGAAUAGGAUCUGUUCUAUAGGCUCGUACCACCUUAUCCUUGAGUUCUAAGGAGACAGGAAACCAAGUCUGGUUGACGAAGCAUGGCCAGGUGACCAGAGCGUGAUUAUCAGCCAUUCAUGGCCGAGGUCUUGCAGUAGAUGAUCGUUCUUAGCCCUUCGUUGUGGCUGAAGAUGGUCCCUUGGCUGUCUGACAGACU